AUGGGGUUUCACCAUGUUGGCCAGGCUGGUCUCAAACUCCUGACCUCAGACAUGAGCCACUGUGCCCGGCCAAGACUGUGUCUUAAUUCAACACUGGGUACCUUUCAUGUUGUGCAGUGUUGUUGCUGUGAUAUGUUUGUUGUUGCUGUGUUUGCUUAUUUUUUUCUGUAUAGUUCCUGUGUUGCUUGUUGUGUGGUGUUGUGUUUAUUACUUGUAAUGUACUAGAUUCUUCUAUUUCUUGAUCUUCUGGAAUUGAACACAACCAAUCGCUUUUAUUAUUUAUUUAUUUUUUGCUUUUCUGUUUCUUUCUUAAGCUUGUGAGGUCUUUAGGUGAGAGUGGGAAGGGAGUGGCUCCCAACACACAAAACAUCCAAGGAAGAAGUUAGAGUUCCAUUUAUAAAACCUACGGAAAUGGCUUCUUUUUCUGUUUUAAGCAAAGCAGUGGAGAUGUUCUAUUCUGAAGGUUGCAGUCAACACUAUUACAAGGUGCAGGGACAGGUGGGAGAAUUCCUUUCUAUCAAAGUCUUAGACUGGUAGAGUUAGCAGUAAGAGGAAUGCAACCCAUUCAUUUUACUGAUGAGGAGACAGAAGGUCAAGGUGGACCAUGGUGGGGUUUGACUCAACACUCUGGAUUCCCCAUCCCGAUGGUUCCUUCUAUAUCACAGAUCCUAGCUUACAAAUACAAAGUUUAAUUCCUCAAAAAGGCAUGUAAUUAAAAAAAAAUCCCAACACUCAGGUAUCUGAUCCCUGACUCAUCAUUUCUUCCUGUGUGCCGAGAUGGCUUUGGCAGACGUUGGGGGAGCUUCUCCCCACUCUAUUGGGAAAGCAGCACCAGCUCCUUCCUCCUCUGGAUCCCCUCAAGGGGGCCAAAAUGCCCACCCUAACCCUGAUACUUUCUCCCCACUCCUGUGGAACCUCACUCCCUCAUCCCAAGCAGUACCUGGGUUCCUAAUGCCCCAAACAUUCAUAAAUUUAACACAUGUUUAUUGAGAACAUACUGUAUACUAGCUGCUUGUUAGGUACCGUGACUACAGCAGCCAGCAAGACAGUCCGGGACCCAGGCCUGCUCGUAUGUUCACUCUCUCCUCUUCACUAGGGUCUGGGAGAGAGCUUUGAGGAUUGAGACUCAGCCCAAGGUGAGUCCUGGAUGGUACUCAGCCUUGAUGUAGACCUCGUGGAUAUUUUUUUAAAAAUUAUUUAAAUAUUUUUGAUUUAUAGAGUGAUUGAACACAUAGCGUUCCAUAUACCUCCUCCCCACCCUCUCUCAGUUUCCCCUAUUACUAACAUCCUGCAUUGGUGUGGUAUACUUGUUACACUCGAUGAGCCAGUAGUGAUACAUUACUGAGUCCUAAUGUUUUUACUAGGAUAAUUACUAAAAUCCUUAUUUAGGUUAGAGUUCACUCUUUGUGUGGUAUAACCUGUGGGUUUUGAAAAACGCAUAAUGACAUCCAUCCACGAUGACAGGAUCAAACAGAAGACCUCCACUGCCCUAGAAACCUCUGGUGCUCCGCCUGUUCCUCCCUCCCUUCUAACCCCUGGCAACCAUUGCUGUCUUUACUGUCUCCAUGGUGUGGCCCUUUCCAGAACAUCACAGAGUGGAAACCACGCGGUGGGAAGCAUUUUCAGACUGGCUUCUUUCUUGGUUCACAGGAAGAAAUGAUGAAUCAGGGAUCAGACACCUGAGUAUUGGGAUUUUUUCUUUUAAUUACAUGCCUUUUUGAAAAAUUGGACUUUGUAUUUGUAAGCUAGGAUCUAUGAUACCGAAGGAACCAUCGGGAUGGGGAAUCCAGAGUGUUGCGUCAAACCCCACCAAGGUCCACCUUGACCUUCUGUCUCCUCAUCAGUAAAAUGAAUGGGUUGCAUUCCUCUUAGUGCUAACUCUACCAGCCUAAGACUUUGAUAGAAAGGAAUUCUCCCACCUGCCCCUGUACCUUGUGAUAGUGUUGAUUUCACUUCAGAUUCCUCUAUGUCUUGUUGCAGCUUGCCAGCUGAUUUCUUCUUAUUCCUGAAUAAUGUGGGAGUCUUUUUUGUAGAGCCUCCCGGGUGGUUCCACGGGGGAGCUGAGUGGAGCACCUGUGGUCUUGUGACCUAGUCCCCAGCAUGGAGUGCUCGGAAGUGCCCUCCGUGAACAUGUAAACAUCCCACCAACUUGCCCUCCCUUCUCUUGAUAUUUUGAUGUAGUUUUUUUUUUGAUGGUCUUUUCUUAUUUCUGGGUCUCAGCCCCCAGAUACACUUUCCACCCCAUGUCCUAACCUAUACUCUGUAGCACACCGCACCUGUCCGGGGCGAUUGGUCAUCACAGGCCCGGGUCCACGUCUCAGCUCUGCUUCUUGCUGGCCACGAGGCUGCGUGCUCCUUACUGGCGUCCGCGUGCCUGUCUGUACAGUGCAGGAGCAGGAGCAUCUGCCAACAGAUUUCUUGUGAGAUUCUGGUUCCGAGGCCUCCAGACGGCGUGGGAGCACCGCCUGAGUCCUGCUGCAUUCUCUCUGCUGCAGACGCAAGCCUGGUUCCUGUGUGGGGUCCCUCAGGGGUGGUGUGUGUUUCACAGGGCAGCAGAGAGCCAGGGGGCUGGGGCUGCCCAUGGGGAGUGUGUGAAUCAAAGGAACAGACCGCAGCUGGAGCCACCUCGCCCAGAUUCCUGAACGCAGCCUCUUGACAGACCGAUUGUGUAAUGGCAUUCCUCCCAAGGAAACACGCCUGCCCCCUCCAAGAAGGUGUGAGAGCUUCCCAGACACGGAAAGGGCCCUGCUGGGUAAAUUAAUUCUUCAUUAUUCCGUUCCCGAGGCUCUCCCAUUGGCCGAGUGCCCGGCACCAACAGACGCCUGCCCGCAUGGGGUCAGUCCACACGCAGCUGACGCUGAGGCUCAGGUAGUCUCCUUGGUCCCACCAAGCCGAGGAUGCAUUCAAAUAGAUGCAAAUUUCCAUCCAAUUCCUGUCCGCCCUGCCCGGGAUAAGGGGCCUGCUGUGGCUGUGCAAGCCGGCUUUCUGGUGUCUAAAUACUUCUCUGGUGAGGACACACCUGUUCGCGUCUGCUAGCACACCACAGGUGGGGUUUAUUGUGUGGGGCUGGGAUUUGGCCAGCCAACUUCUGGAAUUCAUUGUUUAUCUCUCCGUCACCAUAACAAAUAACCCCCAGACCUGGAUACACCACCUUCGGCUAAGGCCUCAGUGUGGGGUCAUCAAAAAUGGCAAGCUGGCCAGCCCCGAGGAUGGAGGCAGAAGAGUCACCAAGUCUGGAACCCACGGCUGCCGUAGAGGAGGAGCUGGGUCAUGCUUGGCUAGACACCAUAUCGCUCUCAUCCUGUUUUCUCAUUUGUGAAAUGGGAAUGGCGCUCAUGCUUCUCCAUGGGAUGUUGGGAAAGGAACAUGAGGGCAUCCAUGGAAGUGUUUGAGGCAUGCCUGGUCCAGGGGGAACCUCCAGAAAUGACACCUAUGAUCCCCCAGCUGUGUUCCCAUUAAACUAACACUCAUCCGGCCUGGAGCUGGGGUGCAGCGAUGAGUAUGACCUAGUCCGAGCCCCAGGAAUGUGGGCAGUAGGAAGGGCAUGACCAUGAAAGACGUGCUCAGGGGACCCCUUCCAGGUGUCACCAAAGAGCCCUGGGUUGUGGUGUGGGCUGGAGCAGGGCAGGUGGGGGGCAGUGCGGGUGGGUACAGUCUCUGAUGCUAGACACCUGGGUUCACAACCCUGGGCCUGCCUGUUACCAGCCAUGCGACUUCACAUUUGGGGAAACUGAACCUCAGUUUCCCCAAAUGUGAAAUGGAGUCGAUGCUCAUAGCAGCUUCUCUUGGGGUUGUUGUGAGACUGAAACAAGUAUUUGUACCAUACACAAAUACUCAGUGCCUGGCAAAAGUUAUCUAAGUGUCUGUUAAACAUGUAGCUGUAUCUACACGUUAGGGGGCCGACCUCACCGUGCUGAGAGGCAAAAAUGGAGAAAAAGAGAGGUUGCCAAGAUUCUGUUCCUGGUGGGCCCAGACUUUGGAGUUUCAGAGACGGGUGAGAGAAGGAGUCGGGGCAGGCAGGACCCUGGUGUGAGUAGCAUGCUUCAUGAAAGUGCCUGGGAGAAACCUUGGGACGUCCUUGUCUAAACUAGACUCCUGGCCUGCAGAGAGCCGGUCUCCACCUCCCUCAGUCCCUGCCACCCGCUAUCUUUCUGGGCUGCCUGUACAUCCUGCUGCAGCCUUCCAAGGGCUGUCCGACAGGGAAACCGGAGCUGCAGGCAGGAGGCGCGGGCCGUUUCAUCCACUCAGGGAUGGGAGUGAGUUACAGGUGUGGCCUUUGUUCCUGAGCACAGGCGGGGAUAAUGCGUCCUGACAGCCCAAGGAUGGGCCCCUGGCAGCCUUCAUCGGCCUGGCCCGAGCCCCAGGGCAGCCCUCAUGGGCACCCGAAUUACAAAACGUCCUGUGAACUCUCCCCACGGUCCCGGCCUCUUCAUGUGCUUCCAACGCUGGCGGCUUGGACACACCUGGGAGCAGCCGCAGCCCAUUCACGAAGCACUUUGGUGAAGGUCACCAUCUGCAGGGACAGAGCAGGUAUUGUCAAGGACGCCAGCCUAGACUUUGUGCCCCGCCGGCUGCCCCGACCACAGGAAUUCCUCACGCUCACCCUCACCCUCAUUCACACCAGGAGGGCGCCCACUGCUGCUGGGGGCAACUUCCCUCCCUCUCUCCCCGUGCUAUUUUCAGGCCGGAGGCUGGAGCCUCGGCCAAAGGAACCUCACCCACCAUUUUCCAAAACCUGAUUGCUGUGUCUGUGUCUGUGAUGGGCACAGACCCAGGGGCCAGGCCUGCCAAGACUCUCCCCAUGUGAAUACCUGCACAGGGCACCUCCUGUGGGAACCGGGAGUCACACAGAGCCUGGCAUUUGUCCCCAGCCUGUCUUGUGACAUUAGGUAGAUCAAAGCCCCAUUGUAAAAAGUCGUGUUGCCUCUGUUCAUCUGCUUGGAGCCUGUGUCCUGGGACGGCCCUUCCCUCGGCUCUGGCUCGGGGAGGGAGCUGACCGCCAACGCAUGUGCUCCCAUUCGGGCCCUAGCGUUCCUCCUGGAAGGAGCCCCACCGAAAGUGAAAUUGCCUUUCAUGGGUCUGAGGCUGGGGCACACCCUGAGAAAGAAUGAGAAAGCGUGGGGCAGCGCAGCUCCUCUCCAAAGUCUUCCGAGGAACAAGUUCCUACUUGGCUCUACUAAGGAACAGCAACGAGGCAGAGAAAAAUGUCACUGACGCCGAAAUCCUGGAGGCUUCCUGAAUUGGCGAUGAGGGAUGGGGAGCUGGCAGAGGCUGGGGUGGGGGCAGCCUCUGUCCAGCAGCCCCUUGGGGCAUGGCAGGGAGGGAGGGGAUGGAAGGAGGUGAGAAGACACGAGGCUUUGACAAUCCUGAAUAGUGAGUGGUGGGGCGAGUUCAGAUCCUUCCAGAGGGCACAGCUUCCCCUUGACUCCCAAGCCUGACCAUUGUGUGUCAAAUGAGGGGCAGUCAAAUUGCUUAACCACCUGAUUGGCAACUUGCGAGCUGGAGGGAUCUUUACCCACUUUACACUCCUUAGGUAGUCCAUUGGUAUGGGCUGCCUGGAGCAUGUGCUGAGAUGGGAGGAGAAUGUGCCAAGAUGGAUUAAUAAUGUCUGGAUGGCUGCCAGUCUCUUAA